CUUGUACCGACUGGAUGAGCAGCGAACGGGUGAGUAACGCGUGGGGAAUCUGCCUUUGAGCGGGGGACAACAUUUGGAAACGAAUGCUAAUACCGCAUAAAAACUUUAAACACAAGUUUUAAGUUUGAAAGAUGCAAUUGCAUCACUCAAAGAUGAUCCCGCGUUGUAUUAGCUAGUUGGUGAGGUAAAGGCUCACCAAGGCGAUGAUACAUAGCCGACCUGAGAGGGUGAUCGGCCACAUUGGGACUGAGACACGGCCCAAACUCCUACGGGAGGCAGCAGUAGGGAAUCUUCGGCAAUGGACGAAAGUCUGACCGAGCAACGCCGCGUGAGUGAAGAAGGUUUUCGGAUCGUAAAACUCUGUUGGUAGAGAAGAACGUUGGUGAGAGUGGAAAGCUCAUCAAGUGACGGUAACUACCCAGAAAGGGACGGCUAACUACGUGCCAGCAGCCGCGGUAAUACGUAGGUCCCGAGCGUUGUCCGGAUUUAUUGGGCGUAAAGCGAGCGCAGGUGGUUUAUUAAGUCUGGUGUAAAAGGCAGUGGCUCAACCAUUGUAUGCAUUGGAAACUGGUAGACUUGAGUGCAGGAGAGGAGAGUGGAAUUCCAUGUGUUACCGG
rnacentral:rRNA from 1 species